rnacentral:rRNA from 1 species
AGAAUCAACGCUGGCGGCGUGCCUAACACAUGCAAGUCGAACGAGGAAGUGGAGCAAUCCAUGAGUACAGUGGCGACCGGGUGAGUAACACGUGACUACCUACCCUUGAGUGGGGGAUAAACCUCGGGAAACCGAGGCUAAUACCGCAUAAUAUCGAGAGAUCAAAAGGAGUAAUCCGCUUUUGGAGGGGGUCGCGGCUGAUUAGCUAGUUGGUAGGGUAAUGGCCUACAAAGGCGAAGAUCGGUAUCCGGCCUGAGAGGGCGCACGGACACACUGGAACUGAAACACGGUCCAGACUCCUACGGGAGGCAGCAGUGGGGAAUUUGCGCAAUGGGGGAAACCCUGACGCAGCAACGCCGCGUGGAGGAUGAAGCCCCUUGGGGUGUAAACUCCUUUCGACCGGGAAAAUAAUGAUGGUACCGGUGGAAGAAGCACCGGCUAACUCUGUGCCAGCAGCCGC